AUGAGAUCAUAGUGGAGUAGGGUAGACCUCUUAUCUAGGAUGAUCAAUCUUCCUUAAGAAAGGAGAGAUUUGGACUCCAGGCCAGACACAUAGUACCCAGGGAGGAUGCUACAGCGGGGAUUCUGCUGCCCCAACCUAAGAAAGUACCAGAAGCUGGGAAGGAGGCUAGCGCAGAACCAUCCCUAGUGCCUUCCAUGAAAGCACGGCUUCGCUGACACCUCCAUCUCCAACUUCCAGAUCCCAGCUUGGGAGACAAUUACAGGUCUCUCCUCCAUAGCUGCUCAUCUUCCUGUACCAUGGCUCUGGACACCACACUCUAAAGCUCCUGUCACCAGCACACCCUGCCCACAACAAAGGAAGGAUGACAACAAGGAGAGAUUGGCUGUGGAUGGAAUUCUUUUUUCCCCAUGUUCUUGAAUACUGAUGUUUCGGAUUUGACUUCAGAAUUGGACAGAAAAAGCAUCGCAUCCAAAGUUGUCUAUUUGAAAAUAUGCCAAGUCAUUCCAUGGGGAGAUUUAUAAUUUGGUCCAAGACUGAUUUUAUGCCUAAAGCAAACAAAAGACUUGAAAACAUUUUGCUUGCAUGACAGCAGCCCACAUCAUGAGAAAAUAACUCCUGUGCAGUGGCCUGGGGUACUGUCCCAACCUUGUUCUACUGCCCAGCCUGAGAGGCUACAGAAAGUGGAGGUUUCAAGACCAAAGGGUGUGUGGUUGCAAAGCCCUCAGAACAGUUCCCUGCAGACUGAGGACACCGAGAGAGUUACAGGGAUAUUCAACCACCACUGAGCACCCAGAAGUCUUCAGUCAUUCCCCUAAACCUACAUUUCCCUUGGAUUCCAGCAGAGGUUCCACAAAACUGACACUGCUCCAAGCAGAUAUAGUGAUCUCAUGGAGGCUGAAUUGCACUUUCAAGCAGUAAGCACUCCUUGAGCUAUCUUGCAAAACCUGAACUGAAAUAAUGAGCAACCAGGCCGCUGUCAACCUCAGCUACUCUAUAAAAGUUUGUCUUGGGCUGGGGAUUUAGCUCAGUGGUUCAGUGGCCUGCCUUGCAGCAAAAA